GCAAAUCUGACAAGAAGUAAAAUUGUUAAUCAAGUCAAUAUCUAUCUGCACUGAAUUUUUCAGAUGAAUUGGACAACUGGUUGUUGGGUUGCUGCCCUCCAAUUGGUAAUUUUUAAAGAAAUUUUGCCGUUUUUGGUUAUCUUGAAUACUAUUAUAGAUAGCGAUAAACUGUAAACAGCAAUAAUGUUCAGCAAAGUAAGAUCUACAAAUAAGUCAACAUGACCUAAUGGUCAAUUGACCCCUUAAGGAGUUAUUGCCCUUUAUAGUCAAUUUUUAACAAUUUUCAUUAAUUUGGUAAAUUUAUGUAAAUUUUUACCAAAUAUAGUUCUCUGUUACUAAUGGGCAAAGUUCAUUAUAGAUAUAAUUGUAAGAAGCAAAAUCGUUCAGUAAAGUAAGAACUUCAAACACAUCACCAUCACCAAAAUACAAUUUUGUCAUGAAUCCAUUUGUGUCCUUUGUUUAAUAUGCACAUAGACCAAGGUGAGCGACACAGGCUCUUUAGAGCCUCUAGUUUUAGUU
rnacentral:lncRNA from 1 species